UACGGAGGGUGCAAACGUUGCUCGGAAUCAUUGGGCGUAAAGCGCACGUAGGCGGCCUGUUAAGUCGGGUGUGAAAGCCCUGGGCUCAACCCAGGAAGUGCACUCGAAACUGGCGGGCUUGAAUAUGGAAGAGGGUCGCGGAAUUCCCGGUGUAGAGGUGAAAUUCGUAGAUAUUCGGAAGAACACCAGUGGCGAAGGCGACUACCUGGUCUGGCAUUGACGCUCAUGUGCGAAAGCGUGGGGAGCAAACAGG
rnacentral:rRNA from 1 species